rnacentral:rRNA from 1 species
UUUUUUCGCAGAUUAACUUAGUAUUGGUUAUUAGUAAGAAGGUAUGCGAAGAAUAAGCACCGGCAAACUACGUGCCAGCACCCGCGGUAAUACGUUAGGGGUGCAAGCGUUGUCCGGAUUUACUGGGUUUAAAGGGUACGUAGGCGGCUGGCUAAGUCGGCGAUGANAUACCGGGAGCUUAACUCCGGUGCUGUUGCCGAUACUGGCGAGCUAGAGCGCGGAUGAGGUUGCUGGAAUAGACGGUGUANCGGUGAUAUGCGUAGAGAUCGUCUGGAACAUCGAUUGCGAAGGCAGGCAACUAGCCCGCGCCUGACGCUGAGGUACGAAAGCGUGGGGAGCGAACAGGAUUAGAUACCCUGGUAGUCCACGCCCUAAACGAUGCACACUCGUUGUUCGCCCACAUGAGGGCGAGCGGCUGAGCGAAAGCGUUAAGUGUGCCACCUGGGAAGUACGCUCGCAAGGGUGAAACUCAAAGGAAUUGACGGGGGCCCGCACAAGUGGUGGAGCAUGUGGUUUAAUUCGAUGAUACGCGAGGAACCUUACCGGGGCUAAAUCCCAGCUGCUACCUCCUGAAAGGGAGGGUUUCUUCGGAACGGUUGGGAAGGUGCUGCAUGGUUGUCGUCAGCUCGUGCCGUGAGGUGUUGGGUUAAGUCCCGCAACGAGCGCAACCCCUAUCGUUAGUUGCCAACGGUUCGGCCGGGGACUCUAGCGAGACUGCCUACGCAAGUAGUGAGGAAGGAGGGGACGACGUCAAAUCAUCAUGGCCCUUACGCCCCGGGCGACACACGUGCUACAAUGGGCCGUACAAUGGGCAGCGACCCCGCGAGGGGCAGCAAAUCCUAAAAGCGGCUCUCAGUUCGGAUUGUAGUCUGCAACUCGACUGCAUGAAGCUGGAAUCACUAGUAAUCGCACAUCAGCCAUGGUGCGGUGAUACGUUCCCGGGCAUUGUACACACCGCCCGUCAAGCCAUGGAAGUUGGGGGCGCACUGAAGUCGG